AUGGUCCAGAGUCAAAACGCACCGUCGUAAGUAUGUAAACGUGACAACUUGACAACACGAUUCUCUCUGUACAGUGGCAGAGAGACAUCAGAGGCGAGUGAGAAUGCAGGCCGACGCCAUUGAAGCUGGAAUUGGAGCUCUAAUGUCAUUGUCAUCAUCGUGUUCUUCGCCGGAAUCGGACAUGGCGGGGAUACAAUCGGAGAGAGGAGGACCAGUACGGGGCUUGAUUUUGGGAGUUAGGGUUUUCUUCCCUCCAUAACCAAAAAGCUAUUCCUCGCCAAGGUGAGCCCAACACAGCAAGUUUGCAGCUGGAUAUGUUUGAACAAUGUGGAAGCAAUGAUCACUGAAGAAGAAGAAUUUGCUAUUGAGAUCCCAGAUUGAUUAUAUUGCAGCUCAUCUUAUUGAUUGAUUAUAUUGCAGCUCAACCACAAGCAAACUAUAAGAUUCCCAUUGUUGCCAGGUGAAAAAUCUUGUUGACAAACUUGUUAAUCUGUCCUUACAUUUCAAUUCAAUGUGCCGACCAUCAAUAGCUUAUAAUAGUUUGUAAAAUAAUACCAAUGUGGUUAACCAAACGACACCACCACAUUUUUGUGCCUCCUAAAUUUUGAGCAUUAUCCUUUUGGGUUCAUAACUAUGUUUUUUUUGUUCUAAA